CCCUUAGAUGUUCUGGGCCGCACGCGUGCUACACUGAGUAAUUCAAUGGGUAAGGGAACGCUAGAGCAUUACCUAAUCUUGAAAUUUGCUCGUGAUGGGGAUCGACGGUUGCAAUUUUCCGUCGGGAACGAGGAAUACCUUGUAGGCGCAUGUCAUCAUCAUGCGCCGAAUACGUCCCUGCCCUUUGUACACACCGCCCGUCGCUCCUACCGAUUGAGUGAUCCGGUGAGGCUCUGGGACCUGGACGGAAAGAGCGUUUCGCUUGUUCUGUUUGGGAAACUUGGUCGAACCUUAUCAUUUAGAGGAAGGAGAAGUCGUAACA
rnacentral:rRNA from 1 species